AGAUGUGAGAACAAUUUGGCUGAGACAUCUGUUGCCCCUUUGUUCAUCAGCGUUGAGUACCGAUCUGAUUGGUGAGGCAGAUGUCCUCCUUCCUCCCUCACUGCUCCAUGUGCCCCCCGCCUUCCUGAAGCUGCACACGUGGAAACACUGGCAAACAAACAGGAAGGGAAGCCAUGGUCUUGGGUGAGAUCGUUUAAUGAAAGAGUAGAGAGUAAGAGGAGAGGGAGGCCUGGGACCAAGUUU
rnacentral:sRNA from 1 species